UUAAUCACCUGAUACUUGGAUUAUCGAAUAACUGAACUAAUUUCUUCUUAUCGGGUUUAAUUGUCUUGGCAUGUCCUUCAUAAAAAUAGCGUCGGUGUCCAACCAAGAAAUGGGGAAAGUUACCACCCUGAGUCGUAACAAAAACUUCACUAUGAAGACAAACAGUAUAAUCCAAAGCUGCCAACCUGGACGAAUGCCCCUGCAUGACAAGAUGACACUUAAUCACAUAGUGCAUGUUUAGUACACAGAGUACUGGACUCUCUCUCUCUCUCUCUCUCUCUAUAUGUAUAUAAAUAAGAUGUUGUACUAUUUAAUCCUCAUACUAAACAUGCUAAUAGAGGUUUGAAAUUAUACCAUGAAUGGAGUAAGUUCUUCAGGGGAGGCUAGAGUUUCCUUUGUUUCUAGACGAGGAAACAUCUUUUUCA
rnacentral:lncRNA from 1 species